UAGGGAAUCUUCGGCAAUGGACGAAAGUCUGACCGAGCAACGCCGCGUGAGUGAAGAAGGUUUUCGGAUCGUAAAACUCUGUUGUUAGAGAAGAACAAGGACGUUAGUAACUGAACGUCCCCUGACGGUAUCUAACCAGAAAGCCACGGCUAACUACGUGCCAGCAGCCGCGGUAAUACGUAGGUGGCAAGCGUUGUCCGGAUUUAUUGGGCGUAAAGCGAGCGCAGGCGGUUUCUUAAGUCUGAUGUGAAAGCCCCCGGCUCAACCGGGGAGGGUCAUUGGAAACUGGUAGACUUGAUUGCAGAAGAGGAGAGUGAAAUUCCAUGUGUAGCGGUGAAAUGCGUAGAUAUAUGGAGGAGCACCAGUGGCGAAGGCGGCUCUCUGGUCUGUAACUGACGCUGAGGCUCGAAAGCGUGGGGAGCAAACAGG
rnacentral:rRNA from 1 species